AAGAAAGUAAUGAAGGGCGCAUGGCGGAUGCCUUGGCUCACAGAGGCGAUGAAGGACGUGAUAAGCUGCGAUAAGCUGCGUGUAGGUGCAAAUAACCUUUGAUGCGCGGAUUUCCGAAUGGGACAACCCACCUGUCUGAAGGGCAGGUAUCACUAAUUAUUUAGUGAGGCGAACCGGGGGAACUGAAACAUCUUAGUACCCCGAGGAAUAGAAAAUAAGCGAAUGAUUCCCUUAGUAGUGGCGAGCGAAAGGGGAGGAGCCCAAACCGUUGUCGUGGUAACGCGAUAGCGGGGUUGUAGGACCGCGUUAUUGUACUUUUAUCGUGAGAAGAAGCCAUUGGAAAAUGGCAUCAUAGAGGGUGAUAAUCCCGUAUUCGAAGCGUGCGAAGACAUAGCGGUAUCCUGAGUAACGCGGAACACGUGAAAUUCUGCGCGAAUCUGCCGGGACCAUCCGGUAAGGCUAAAUACUUCUGUGAGACCGAUAGCGAACCAGUACCGUGAGGGAAAGGUGAAAAGCACUUCGAUUGAGAAGAGUGAAAUAGUUCCUGAAACCAUGCGCCUACAAGCGGUCGGAGCUGCUUAUGCAGUGACGGCGUGCCUUUUGCAUAAUGAACCUACGAGUUACCGUUACCAGCGAGGUUAAGCGACAUGAGUCGUGCAUCCGCAGUGAAAGCGAGCCUGAACAGGGCGUUUGUCCCCCUAGGGACAAAGCGCACGCAAGUGCGUUUUAGUUGGUAGUGGUAGACGCGAAACCAAGUGAUCUACACAUGUCCAGGAUGAAGUCCCGGUAACACGGGAUGGAGGUCCGAACGGAUAAGCGUUGAAAAGCUUCCCGAUGAGAUGUGUGUAGGAGUGAAAGGCCAAUCAAACUUGGAGAUAGCUCGUACUCCCCGAAAGGCAUUUAGGUGCCGCGUACAGUGUUUACCUCAAGAGGUAGAGCGACCGAUAGGACGCGAGGGCUUCACCGCCUAUCAAGUCCUGACGAACUCCGAAUGCUUGUAGGUCAGUAGCUGUGCAGUAAGGGGGCGGGUGCUAAGGUCCGUCCCCGAGAGGAGAAGAAUCCGGACCGCCGUCUAAGGUCCCGAAGUUCUGUCUGAGUUAGUCUAACGAAGUCUGGUCCCCGCGACAGCCAGGAUGUUGGCUUGGAAGCAGCCAUUCAUUUAAAGAGUGCGUAACAGCUCACUGGUCGAGGGUCCGGGCAUGGAUAAUAAUCGGGUAUAAGGCAGACACCGAAGACGCGGGAUAGUAAUGUAUAUUAAAAGUAUCGGUAGGGGAGCAUUCCAUCGGCGUUGAAUGCAGUAGGACGACUACUGCUGGAGCUUAUGGAAAAGCAAAUGUAGGUAUAAGUAACGAUAAGGAGGG
rnacentral:ncRNA from 1 species